UAGGGAAUCUUCCGCAAUGGGCGAAAGCCUGACGGAGCAACGCCGCGUGAGUGAUGAAGGUCUUCGGAUCGUAAAACUCUGUUAUUAGGGAAGAACAAAUGUGUAAGUAACUAUGCACGUCUUGACGGUACCUAAUCAGAAAGCCACGGCUAACUACGUGCCAGCAGCCGCGGUAAUACGUAGGUGGCAAGCGUUAUCCGGAAUUAUUGGGCGUAAAGCGCGCGUAGGCGGUUUUUUAAGUCUGAUGUGAAAGCCCACGGCUCAACCGUGGAGGGUCAUUGGAAACUGGAAAACUUGGGGGCAGAAGAGGAAAGUGGAAUUCCAUGUGGAGCGGUGAAAUGCGGAGGGAUAAGGAGGAACACCAGUGGCGAAGGCGACUUUCUGGUCUGGAACUGACGCUGAUGUGCGAAAGCGUGGGGAUCAAACAGG
rnacentral:rRNA from 1 species